rnacentral:lncRNA from 1 species
UAAUCAGAGAGAGACAGAGAGAAGAAGCCAUGUGAGGAUGGAGGCAAGAUUGAAGCGAAAGCGAAGUAGCUACAAGCCAAGGAAUGUCAAGGAUUGUCGAGAGCCACCAAAAGCCAGGUGAAAGAAGGCUUCUGCCAGACCUGUUCCUGUGGGAGUGGAAUCAUUGUGGGACCUGAUGAUUCAACAGUUGAUGAAGAAGCUGAAGCCAGGAGAAGCUAAUUAAAACUUCCAAAUUCCCCUAUAUUCUUUGCACUGCACCAGAGUGAACUUCCAUGGGCACUGAUUACCCAUCAUCUGGAAAGCACUGACAACAAACAACGACCACUGCAACUCUCUAUCCACUCAGAAGCCACAAUUAAACAGCAAGAUCCCUCCUUGGUGGACCUCCUCACAUGAGAGAAACCACAUCGGCUUGUACUGAAUACUACAUGCAAAAAGAACGCUGAAGCAUGAAACAUCAGAAGGCAAUAUCAUGUGCCAGUGCUGUACCAAGCCAUAGCGAAGCCUAAGGCAGAAGGAGAAGGAUCCUUCCUGUGAGCCAAACCCAACCAGAAGCUGGAGGGAACAGGAGUCAGUUCCAUUAAGAUCAGCCACCGGGGACAGAGAUCCAGGUGGAGAAUGCUGAAGAAAGCAUCUGGAUGUGCAAAGACAAGAUGCUCAGCACAACCCCACAUGAGUCAGUUUUUCAUUUUACUUCACUGGCUGUUCCUGCUCAUUAUCACUAUCCCUUGACAUCUUAAUCAAGGAUGCCCCAGAGUUUGAACUUCUUUUCUAUUUACUCUCAACCCCGUUGUGAUUUCAGCCAGUCUCCUGGAUUUAAAUGCAAUCUCAAUCUAUCUAACACUAACAGCCAAAUCACAUCCCCAGCCCCAACUCUUCCCCUGAACCCUGGACUGGCAAAUCCAACUAUUUGCUUGACUUCUCUGUGGAUGGUUAUAGGCACUCCUAACUUACCAUGUCUAAAAUUAGGCUCCAGAUCCCCUCCCCACAGCCAAGCCUCCUCUUGCCAUAACAUUCCCCAUCUCAGUUAAUGGCAACUCCAUCAGACCUUUCACUCAGCCCCAAACCUUGGAGUCAUCCUUGAUUUCAUCUUUCUUCUAACAUCCUACAUCCUAUCCAUAAGCAAAUCUUGGCUGCUCUAUUUUCCUAAUACAUCCAGGAUCUGAGCACUUUUUACUUCACUGCUGCUCCUACACUGCUCUAGCCCACCACCAUCUCUUGCUGGCGUUAUCGUUGCAUUAACCACCUCCUCAUUUGUCUCCUGGCCUCUGCCGCCACCCCCUGCAGUCUAUUCUUAACAUCACCAGAGUUGUUUACAUAUGAGUCAAAUCAUGUAAUUCCUCACCUCAAAAUCCUGUGGAGACUUCCCGUAUCAGCCAAGCUAGGUCAUGCUGCAGUAUCAGAAACAGAAACAACAUCAUCAGCUGUUACACAGAUUUUUCUUUCUUUCUCAGGGUAUAUAUUUACUGUGGGUCAUCAGGGGCUCUGCUCAACAUAGUCACUCAUGGAACCAGGAUGAUAGAGGUCCUGCCUUGACAUGUACUUACAUCAUCACUCCAGCAGUGGAAAGAGGAUGAGAAAACAUGCAGUGGCUUUUUUUUUUAAUUUAUUUUUUGAGGAAGACUGGCCCUGAGCUGACAUCCAUGCCCAUCUUCCUCUACUUUAUAUGUGGGAUGCCUGCCACAGCAUGGCUUGACAAGCAGUGCAAAGGUCUGCACCCACGAUCUGAACUGGCGAACCCUGGGCCACAGAAGCAGAACACGCGAACUUAACCACCGAGCCACCAGGCCGGCCCCACAGUGGCUUUUAAAGAUGUCACCCCACUCAGAAUUGACACAUUCCACUUCCACUCUCAUUUCUUUGGCUAAAACAAGGUGCCUUGCUGUGCAAUAAACCACUACAAAAUCUCAGUCGCAUGCAGCAAUAAGCAUUCAUUUGUCAUACAUCUGCAGGCUGGCUGGGCAUCAGCUGAUCUAGACUAGGCUAGGCGGGGCAUCUACUUUAAGAUGCAAGUUGUCUGGGGUAGCUCUAUUUAACAGGUUUCUCAUCCUCCUCCUAGAGUCAGUGGACAUGCCAGGGCAUGUUUUUUUCAUGUGAUGGCAGAAGCUCAGGAGGGCAAACCCCACUGGGUAAGCACACUUCGAGUUGUCACUUGAAUCAUGUCUACUUCCAUCCUGUGGUCCAAAGCAAGUCAUGUGACUACAGCCACAGCCAAGGGCUAAAGAAGCAUACUCUGUCUACUGUGAAGCCAGGGCGUGGGUGUGGAUGCAAAGAAGGGGUGAAGAAUUGGGGCAAUAAUCCAAAUAAAUAAUCCAAUCUAUCACACAUGACCACGCCUAAUUUUACGGGCAGAGAAAUAUAAUCCUCCUGUGUACCUGAAAGAACUAUUUAAAAUAUUUGAUGAACUCCACUAAAGAUCUUUAGUUGGAUAUGCCAAAGUCCUUACAAUGGCCUAAAAGAUUCACUGAAAUCUGGCUUCCUCUAGCUCCCUAACUUCGUCUCCGACCACCCAACAUGGCUCAUGCCAUUCCAGCCCUACACUAAGGAAGCUUCUACCUCAGGGCUUUUGCAAUAACUGUUCAUUCUGUCAGGAAUACUCGUCUAGUAGAUAUUUGCAUGGCUUUCUCCUUUAUGUCCUUUGGGACUUUGCUUUAGAUGAACACCUACUAAACCUCCCAUCCCCCAACCCUCCUUCUAUCACUGUCUCCCCCACUGAGGCAGAAGAUUCCAACGUUCACGUAGGAUCCUGGGCCUGGGUCCUUGGAGACAUUCUAGACUCUUCUGUCUUCCACUAUAUUUAAAGCUUUGCUUUUCAAAAUAUCCUGAGACUGUCUGCUUCUCACUUCCUCUACUUCGGCCUUCCUGGAUGAAGCCUCCUCUCUCUCCUGAGCCUGUUUCCUUAAGUGAUCUAUAGCUUCUCUCUCAUUUUCCUACAGCCAAUUUUCUAUCUAGUGACAGAUCUUUUAACAACUUGUCAUAUUUCAUAUUUCACUCCCCUGCUCAAAACUCUAAGGACAUCCCAACACACUCAGAAUCCAAACUUCUAACCAUGACCCAUAAGAUGCCCUAUGAAUUGGCCCUGUUUACUUCUUUCACCCCUGUUUUCUUACCAUUGAGUUCCUUGUCCACUCCACCCUUACCCUCUUGCUGUCCACAUCAUCCCUAGCUUGUUUCUGCCUCAGGGCCUUUGCACUUGCUAUUCUCUUUGCCUAGAAUGCUCUUCCCCAAGAUAUUUCCACCCAUUAUUUCCUGACUUCUUUAGCUCUCAGCGAAAAUGUCACCUCCUCAGAGAAACCUUCCUUUGCCUAACUUGCUUUGUUUUUCUUACAGCACUUAUCACCGUAUGAAGUUAUGUAUGUGUAUAUUUCCUGUUUCUACCUUGGUGCAAAUUCCGUGAAACUAGAACAUUGUGUGGUUCAUUAUCUUGUUCAUUGUCC